rnacentral:rRNA from 1 species
UGGGGAAUCUUGCGCAAUGGGCGAAAGCCUGACGCAGCAACGCCGCGUGAGCGAAGACGGCCUUCGGGUUGUAAAGCUCUGUCAGGAGGGACGAAGCCACUCAGGUGAAUAGCCGAGAGGGUGACGGUACCUCCAGAGGAAGCCCCGGCUAACUACGUGCCAGCAGCCGCGGUAAUACGUAGGGGGCGAGCGUUGUUCGGAAUCAUUGGGCGUAAAGCGCGUGUAGGCGGCCAUCCAAGUCCGGUGUGAAAGCUCGGGCUCAACCCCGGAGUCUGCACUGGAAACUGGAUGGCUUGAUCCGGAAGAGGAGACUGGAAUUCCUGGUGUAGCGGUGAAAUGCGCAGAUAUCAGGAAGAACACCGGUGGCGAAGGCGGGUCUCUGGGACGGUACUGACGCUGAGACGCGAAAGCGUGGGGNGCAAACAGGAUUAGAUACCCUGGUAGUCCACGCCGUAAACGAUGGGCACUAGGUGUGGGAGGUGUCGACUCCUUCCGUGCCGUAG